ACGCCGCGUGCAGGAGGACGCUUUUCGGAGAGUAAACUGCUUUUCUGUGGGAAGAGGAAGGACGGUACCACAGGAAGAAGCCCCGGCUAACUACGUGCCAGCAGCCGCGGUAAUACGUAGGGGGCGAGCGUUGUCCGGAGUUACUGGGCGUAAAGGGCAUGCAGGCGGUCGGACGCGUUUUGUGUGACAGCGGGUGGCUUAACUACCCGAGUAUGCGAAAGACGGUUUGACUUGAGGGCUCGAGAGGGACACGGAAUUCCGGGUGGAGUGGUGAAAUGCGUAGAGAUCCGGAGGAACACCGAAGGCGAAGGCAGUGUCCUGGCGAGUGACUGACGCUGAGGUGCGAAAGCUAGGGGAGCGAACGGGAUUAGAUACCCCGGUAGUCCUAGCCGUAAACGAUGACCACCAGGUGUGGGAGGUAUCGACCCCUUCCGUGCCGGAGUAAACACACUAAGUGGUCCGCCUGGGGAGUACGGUCGCAAGAUUAAAACUCAAAGGAAUUGACG
rnacentral:rRNA from 1 species